rnacentral:rRNA from 1 species
AAUGAACGCUGGCGGCAUGCCUUACACAUGCAAGUCGAACGGCAGCAUGACCUAGCUUGCUAGGUUGAUGGCGAGUGGCGAACGGGUGAGUAAUGCAUCGGAACGUGCCUUUUAGUGGGGGAUAACGUAGCGAAAGUUACGCUAAUACCGCAUAUUCUCUGAGGAGGAAAGCAGGGGACCUUCGGGCCUUGCGCUAUAAGAGCGGCCGAUGUCGGAUUAGCUAGUUGGUGAGGUAAAGGCUCACCAAGGCAACGAUCCGUAGCGGGUCUGAGAGGAUGAUCAGCCACACUGGGACUGAGACACGGCCCAGACUCCUACGGGAGGCGGCAGUGGGGAAUUUUGGACAAUGGGCGCAAGCCUGAUCCAGCCAUGCCGCGUGAGUGAAGAAGGCCUUCGGGUUGUAAAGCUCUUUCGGCUGGGAAGAAAUCGCACCCUCUAAUACAGGUUGUGGAUGACGGUACCAGCAGAAGAAGCACCGGCUAACUACGUG